GGGACUUUGGUAUAAGGGUUAUUACGUAGGACUUUUAAUCCUCAAGAUAUAGGUUCAAAUCCUAUAAGUCCUA